rnacentral:rRNA from 1 species
GUGUCAGCAGCCGCGGUAAUACGUAGGGCGCGAGCGUUGUCCGGAAUUAUUGGGCGUAAAGAGCUUGUAGGCGGUUUGUCGCGUCUGCUGUGAAAGGCCGGAGCUUAACUCCGUGUAUUGCAGUGGGUACGGGCAGACUAGAGUGCAGUAGGGGAGACUGGAAUUCCUGGUGUAGCGGUGGAAUGCGCAGAUAUCAGGAGGAACACCGAUGGCGAAGGCAGGUCUCUGGGCUGUAACUGACGCUGAGAAGCGAAAGCAUGGGGAGCGAACAGGAUUAGAAACCCGUGUAGUCC